rnacentral:rRNA from 1 species
CCUACGGGAGGCUGCAGUGGGGAAUAUUGGACAAUGGGCGAAAGCCUGAUCCAGCCAUGCCGCGUGUGUGAAGAAGGCCUUCGGGUUGUAAAGCACUUUCAGUGGGGAAGAAAGCCUUGGGGCUAAUACCCUCGAGGAAGGACAUCACCCACAGAAGAAGCACCGGCUAACUCCGUGCCAGCAGCCGCGGUAAUACGGAGGGUGCGAGCGUUAAUCGGAAUUACUGGGCGUAAAGCGCGCGUAGGCGGUCUGAUAAGCCGGUUGUGAAAGCCCCGGGCUCAACCUGGGAACGGCAUCCGGAACUGUCAGGCUAGAGUGCAGGAGAGGAAGGUAGAAUUCCCGGUGUAGCGGUGAAAUGCGUAGAGAUCGGGAGGAAUACCAGUGGCAAAGGCGGCCUUCUGGACUGACACUGACGCUGAGGUGCGAAAGCGUGGGUAGCAAACAGGAUUAGAUACCCUAGUAGUC